AUGCAAUGCAGCACGAUGCAGACCUCCGACUCCGACUUCACUAUACCCAGCGAGCGAUGUAUUUCAAUCACUAUGCAUCCUAGAUUACGCUAGGCCAACCAGGUAAGUGGUAAAGGACAAUCACACAAGGAGCUAACCCUCAAUUGGCCGAUAGUGUGUCUAAAAAUUGAAA